rnacentral:rRNA from 1 species
UAUGGAGAGUUUGAUCCUGGCUCAGAGUGAACGCUGGCGGCGUGCCUAAUACAUGCAAGUCGAACGAUGAAGCUUCUAGCUUGCUAGAAUGCUGAUUAGUGGCGCACGGGUGAGUAACGCAUAGGUCAUGUGCCUCUUAGUUUGGGAUAGCCAUUGGAAACGAUGAUUAAUACCAGAUACUCCCUACGGGGGAAAGAUUUAUCGCUAAGAGAUCAGCCUAUGUCCUAUCAGCUUGUUGGUAAGGUAAUGGCUUACCAAGGCUAUGACGGGUAUCCGGCCUGAGAGGGUGAACGGACACACUGGAACUGAGACACGGUCCAGACUCCUACGGGAGGCAGCAGUAGGGAAUAUUGCUCAAUGGGGGAAACCCUGAAGCAGCAACGCCGCGUGGAGGAUGAAGGUUUUAGGAUUGUAAACUCCUUUUGUUAGAGAAGAUAAUGACGGUAUCUAACGAAUAAGCACCGGCUAACUCCGUGCCAGCAGCCGCGGUAAUACGGAGGGUGCAAGCGUUACUCGGAAUCACUGGGCGUAAAGAGCGCGUAGGCGGGAUAGUCAGUCAGGUGUGAAAUCCUAUGGCUUAACCAUAGAACUGCAUUUGAAACUACUAUUCUAGAGUGUGGGAGAGGUAGGUGGAAUUCUUGGUGUAGGGGUAAAAUCCGUAGAGAUCAAGAGGAAUACUCAUUGCGAAGGCGACCUGCUGGAACAUUACUGACGCUGAUUGCGCGAAAGCGUGGGGAGCAAACAGGAUUAGAUACCCUGGUAGUCCACGCCCUAAACGAUGGAUGCUAGUUGUUGGAGGGCUUAGUCUCUCCAGUAAUGCAGCUAACGCAUUAAGCAUCCCGCCUGGGGAGUACGGUCGCAAGAUUAAAACUCAAAGGAAUAGACGGGGACCCGCACAAGCGGUGGAGCAUGUGGUUUAAUUCGAAGAUACACGAAGAACCUUACCUAGGCUUGACAUUGAGAGAAUCCGCUAGAAAUAGUGGAGUGUCUGGCUUGCCAGACCUUGAAAACAGGUGCUGCACGGCUGUCGUCAGCUCGUGUCGUGAGAUGUUGGGUUAAGUCCCGCAACGAGCGCAACCCCCUUUCUUAGUUGCUAACAGGUCAUGCUGAGAACUCUAAGGAUACUGCCUCCGUAAGGAGGAGGAAGGUGGGGACGACGUCAAGUCAUCAUGGCCCUUACGCCUAGGGCUACACACGUGCUACAAUGGGGUGCACAAAGAGAAGCAAUACUGCGAAGUGGAGCCAAUCUUCAAAACACCUCUCAGUUCGGAUUGUAGGCUGCAACUCGCCUGCAUGAAGCUGGAAUCGCUAGUAAUCGCAAAUCAGCCAUGUUGCGGUGAAUACGUUCCCGGGUCUUGUACUCACCGCCCGUCACACCAUGGGAGUUGUGUUUGCCUUAAGUCAGGAUGCUAAAUUGGCUACUGCCCACGGCACACACAGCGACUGGGGUGAAGUCGUAACAAGGUAACCGUAGGUGAACCUGCGGUUGGAUCACCUCCUU